rnacentral:rRNA from 1 species
AGAGUUUGAUCCUGGCUCAGAAUGAACGCUGGCGGCGUGCUUAACACAUGCAAGUCGUGCGCGAAGGCGGCUUCGGCUGCCGGAGAGCGGCGAACGGGUGAGUAACACGUGGGUAAUCUGCCUGGGAGUGGGGGAUAACCUGGGGAAACCCGGGCUAACACCGCAUACGACGUCGGGUUUUCGGACCUGAUUUGAAAGCUGGCCUCUGCUUGCAAGCUAGCGCUCCCAGAGGAGCCCGCGGCUGAUUAGCUGGUUGGUGGGGUAAUGGCCUACCAAGGCGACGAUCAGUAGCCGGCCUGAGAGGGUGAUCGGCCACACUGGAACUGAGACACGGUCCAGACUCCUACGGGAGGCAGCAGUGGGGAAUAUUGGACAAUGGGCGCAAGCCUGAUCCAGCAACGCCGCGUGGAGGACGAAGGUCUUCGGAUCGUAAACUCCUGUCAGGUGGGACGAAGGUCCGGGGGUGAAUAAUCCUCGGACUUGACGGUACUACCAGAGGAAGCCCCGGCUAACUCCGUGCCAGCAGCCGCGGUAAUACGGAGGGGGCGAGCGUUAUUCGGAAUUAUUGGGCGUAAAGGGCGCGUAGGCGGCUUGAUAAGUCAAAGGUGAAAUCCCUCGGCUCAACUGAGGAACUGCCUUUGAAACUGUCUGGCUUUGAGGCCGGGAGGGGGUAGCGGAAUUCCAAUUACNCGUGUGAAAUGCUGUAAGAUNAUUGGGGAAGGAAACACCGGGUGGCGAAAGGCGGCUACCUUGAACCCGGUUUUGACGCUGAUUGCGCGAAAAGCGUGGGGUAGCAAAACCAGGAAUUAAGAAUACCCCCUNGUUAGUCCAACGCUGUAAACGAUGGGUGCUCGGUGUCGCGGGGUAUCGACCCCUGCGUUGCCUUAGCUAACGCGUUAAGCACCCCGCCUGGGGAGUACGNUCGCAAGGCUGAAACUCAAAGGAAUUGACGGGGGCCCGCACAAGCGGUGGAGCAUGUGGUUUAAUUCGAUGCAACGCGAAGAACCUUACCUGGGCUUGAACUGUGGUGGACCGUCCUGGAAACAGGGCUUCCCCUUCGGGGGCCGCCAUAGAGGUGCUGCAUGGCUGUCGUCAGCUCGUGUCGUGAGAUGUUGGGUUAAGUCCCGCAACGAGCGCAACCCCUAUCCCUAGUUGCCAUCGGGUCAAGCCGGGAACUCUAGGGAGACUGCCCCGGAAAUCGGGGAGGAAGGUGGGGAUGACGUCAAGUCCUCAUGGCCUUUAUGUCCAGGGCUACACACGUGCUACAAUGGGCGGCACAAAGGGUUGCGAUAGCGCGAGCUGGAGCUAAUCCCAGAAAACCGUCCUCAGUACGGAUUGCAGUCUGCAACUCGACUGCAUGAAGCUGGAAUCGCUAGUAAUCCCAGAUCAGCAUGCUGGGGUGAAUACGUUCCCGGGCCUUGUACACACCGCCCGUCACAUCACGAAAGUUGGUUGUACCGGAAGCCGGUGCGCUAACCCCUAGGGGAGGCAGCCGUCCAUGGUAUGCCCAGCGAUUGGGGUGAAGUCGUAACAAGGUAGCUGUAGGAGAACCUGUGGCUGGAUCACCUCCUU